UCCGACCAGAAUCCUGCAGCCAUGUCGCUCACCAUCCCCACCAAUCUCUCCAAGCCCAUCGCCGCCCCGAAGCUCAGCCCCUCCAAGUCAGUCAGGCCGGCCGCCACCCUCAUAAGAUGCUCCUCUUCCUCCCCUGAGCAGGGCUCCGCCUCCACCUCGGCGGCGUCGCCUCUCCAGGCCUUCUCCGCCGCGCUCGCCCUCUCCUCCAUCCUCCUCUCGGCGCCGCAGCCCGCGGCCGCCGACAUCGCGGGGCUGACCCCGUGCAAGGAGUCGAAGCAGUUCGCGAAGCGGGAGAAGCAGCAGCUCAAGAAGCUGGAGUCGUCGCUGAAGCUGUACGCCCCCGACAGCGCCCCGGCCCUGGCCCUCAAGGCCACCAUGGAGAAGACGAAGCGGCGGUUCGACAACUACGGCAAGCAGGGGCUGCUGUGCGGCACCGACGGGCUCCCCCACCUGAUCGUGAGCGGGGACCAGCGGCACUGGGGCGAGUUCAUCACCCCGGGCAUCCUCUUCCUCUACAUCGCCGGGUGGAUCGGGUGGGUCGGCCGGAGCUACCUCAUCGCCAUCCGCGACGAGAAGAAGCCCACCCAGAAGGAGAUCAUCAUCGACGUCCCCCUCGCCUCCCGCCUCGUCUUCCGUGGCUUCAGCUGGCCCAUCGCCGCUUACAGAGAGCUCGUCAACGGCGAGCUCAUCGCCAAGGACGUC
rnacentral:lncRNA from 1 species